AACACACACAUGACAAAUGUAUAGCACACUAAGUCUGGUUGUAGUUUUAGAAGAUUCUGUCCAGGGUUAACGUUUUCUUAAAGGUAUUCCUUGAAUAUAAAACUACAUGAUUUAAACAUAAAACUAGCUCCUGUUGUGAAGGAGAAAUAAUGGUCCCUAUAUUGAGGUGAGUGAUCUUCCAUUUAAAUGCAUAAAUAAUUACAAAGCCAAAGUUGAUAUUCUUUUGCUCAAUUAAACAGCUUUAUAUGAGUUUCUGGAUAGUUCUCACUUACUGCAUCAACAACAGGUGGCAACGAUACAUGUUGGGUAUAAUACUGAGUAAAGAGGAGUACUAUGGGUUUAACAUGAAAUCCUAUAUCUCCCAUGGUUACUGUGCUAACAUCCUAUCUCAUGAUAGUACCCAAUCCAACAGUUACACCACACAUAGUACCCAAUCCAACAGUUACACCACACAUAGUACCCAAUCCAACAGUUACACCGUACAUAGUACCCAAUCCAACAGUUACACCGCACAUAGUACCCAAUCCAACAGUUACACCGCACAUAGUACCCAAUCCAACAGUUACACCACACAUAGUACCCAAUCCAACAGUUACACCGUACAUAGUACCCAAUCCAACAGUUACACCAUACAUAGUACCCAAUCCAACAGUUACACCGCACAUAGUACCCAAUCCAACAGUUACACCACACAUAGUACCCAAUCCAACAGUUACACCACACAUAGUACCCAAUCCAACAGUUACACCAUACAUAGUACCCAAUCCAACAGUUACACCAUACAUAGUACCCAAUCCAACAGUUACACCAUACAUAGUACCCAAUCCAACAGUUACACCAUACAUAGUACCCAAUCCAACAGUUACACCAUACAUAGCCCAGAUCCUACAGCAAGUCAUUAGUUCCAAACCAUUUCUGUACAAAAAAGUUCACCUAGUUAGCUAAGUCAUUCACACUAGCGGAAACACACACCUCUCACUCACACUUCCCUCCACCCUGUUACUGUAGGCAUCCUGGAAAAGUAAAGACCAUUCAAGCAUAGCAAUGGAAUCAGCAUUGACUUGAAUGGGAAGGUCCGUUCUAUAGAUUAUAUUUCUAUACAUUCCAAUAGCGUUGUUUCUCUUCUAAACCAAUGACUACUGGUAUUAUCACACUAUGGGUAUUAUCACACUAUGGGUAUUGAUCAGUGGCAAUACUUCCUAUUGAUUUGAUCAGAAUCCAAAACCAUGAAACCAACCCAUGAUACCUAAACCCCUAGAAUAGAUACAUGAAACCAACCCAUGAUACCUAAACCCCUAGAAUAGAUACAUGAAACCAACCCAUGAUACCUAAACCCCUAGAAUAGAUACAUGAAACCAACCCAUGAUACCUAAACCCCUAGAAUAGAUACAUGAAACCAACCCAUGAUACCUAAACCCUAGAAUAGAUACAUGAAACCAACCCAUGAUACCUAAACCCCUAGAAUAGAUACAUGAAACCAACCCAUGAUACCUAACCCCCUAGAAUAGAUACAUGAAAACAACCCAUGAUACCUAAACCCCUAGAAUAGAUACAUGAAAACAACCCAUGAUACCUAAACACUAGAAUAGAUACAUGAAAAGACGCCAUCUGAGUUCAGACCUCUCCUGGGGGACCCGCAGACGAAUGGAUUUCAUCUACUCUAGAGCUAGAACACCUGAUUACAUUAGUCAACCAAUCAUCAAGCCCUUGACAAGAUGAAUCAUGAUGAAUCUCUUACUCCAACAGUCUCUCUGGCAGUAAAUGUAUUGGAGAGGGAGUCAAAUAGAAUCCAUUCAUUCUCACCCUAAUCUCCCCUCUCUCAUAUCAACUAAUUAUCAAGCCCUUGACUAGGUGAACCAGGCGAGCCAGUUCAAGCCCUUGACUAGGUGAACCGGGCGAGCCAGUUCAAGCCCUAGACUAGGUGAACCAGGUGAGCCAGUUCAAGCCCUAGACUAGGUGAACCAGGUGAGCCAGUUCAAGCCCUAGACUAGGUGAACCAGGUGAGCCAGUUCAAGCCCUAGACUAGGUGAACCAGGUGAGCCAGUUCAAGCCCUAGACUAGGUGAACCAGGUGAGCCAGUUCAAGCCCUAGACUAGGUGAACCAGGUGAGCCAGUUCAAGCCCUAGACUAGGUGAACCAGGUGAGCCAGUUCAAGCCCUAGACUAGGUGAACCAGGUGAGCCAGUUCAGGGCUACAACAACGUGGUGUUAAAUGUCUGAGGGUCCCAGAGGAGAGGUCAGGAAACCACUGCUAACAAGCCAAUGGCUCUAGUCUGUACAUGGCAACAUUCACCAGUAUAGAAGUAGAGCUAAAAAGAGGCUCAUACUAAAGGAAGCCAAACAACAUUUAUUUGAUGGUCUCUGGUUCUACAGU